GAUACGAUGAAUCGGUCGCUGGAGUCUC
rnacentral:sRNA from 1 species